CAGUCGCCGCGGGAAUACAGAGGGUGCGAGCGUUAAUCGGAUUUACUGGGCGUAAAGCGUGCGUAGGCGGCUUUUUAAGUCGGAUGUGAAAUCCCUGAGCUUAACUUAGGAAUUGCAUUCGAUACUGGGAAGCUAGAGUAUGGGAGAGGAUGGUAGAAUUCCAGGUGUAGCGGUGAAAUGCGUAGAGAUCUGGAGGAAUACCGAUGGCGAAGGCAGCCAUCUGGCCUAAUACUGACGCUGAGGUACGAAAGCAUGGGGAGCAAACAGGAUUAGAUACCCCCGUAGUCCCUGUCUCUUAUCA
rnacentral:rRNA from 1 species